rnacentral:lncRNA from 1 species
CACAGAUAGAAUUAUUCCAUAAAGAUGCAAAACUUCUAUAAUUAUAAAAACUUCAUAAAUUUGUGAUUUGACAGCAGCAGAAUAGAUGUUAAAGAGGCAGUAACCUGAGAAGUGUGAUAGGAAAAAAAUGCUGACAUGAAAUAUAGAUGGUUGAGCUAAAGCUGUGUGUUGUCAUUUUGUGUGAGUCCAGGUGCAUACCACAUGUAAGAGUGGAGAAAGCUGCAUUUCCUUCAAAGAGAGAAACUGAGUCGUCGUUCAUUCCUGGGGUAAAAGAAGGAGCAUAAGGCAUCCUAUUCCAGUUCUUGGAUGAACAUCUAGUCUGCAGUACACUGUUUAUGCCUAAAGCAAAUUCCAAGAAAGGGACCAAAUUUUGGAUUUACCUCUUCCAGGUACAAAGAACUCUCUGGAAGGUUCCUGAAACUUUCUUGCUUUCCUGGUUCCUAUUUGGACUGACCAUGAGAACCAGUGAAAUGGAGACUAUAGAAAACCUCAGCCUCUUUCAAUGCUAAAGGAAUGCAGACACGUUGGAACUUAAAUUUUAAAAGCCAAUUGUAAUUCAAGAUCAUCUGAAAAGAACUGCUUUCCCAAAUAUAGCAUUCCCCAAAAAAAUAUUUCUUAAAAAUGAGCUGAGACAUGAGUUAGUAAAUGAAUAAGUAAAUAAUCUUUCCCAAUAACAAAAAAACCCAAAAAAAUAAAAAAAUCAAAAAAAAACCCCA